GGCCUACCAUGGUGGUAACGGGUAACGGGGUGUUAGGGCACGACACCGGAGAGGGAGCCUGAGAAACGGCUACCACAUCCAAGGAUGGCAGCAGGCGCGCAAAUUACCCAAUCCCGACACGGGGAGGUAGUGACAAUAAAUAACAAUACGGGGUUCUUAUGGAUCUCGUAAUUGGAAUGAGUACAAUUUAAAUCUCUUAACGAGGAACAAUUGGAGGGCAAGUCUGGUGCCAGCAGCCGCGGUAAUUCCAGCUCCAAUAGCGUAUAUUAAAGUUGUUGCAGUUAAAAAGCUCGUAGUUGAAUUUCGGGGUCAGUAGGUUGGUCAUGCCACUGGUAUGUACUGGUCUCACUGAUUCCUCCUUCCUGAUGAACUGUAAUGCCAUUAAUUUGGUGUUGCAGGGAAUCUGGACUGUUACUUUGAAAAAAUUAGAGUGUUUAAAGCAGGCUAACGCCUGAAUACAUUAGCAUGGAAUAAUGAAAUAGGACGUUCGAUCCUAUUUUGUUGGUUUCUAGGAUUGACGUAAUGAUUAAUAGGGAUAGUUGGGGGCAUUAGUAUUCAAUUGUCAGAGGUGAAAUUCUUGGAUUUAUUGAAGACUAACUACUGCGAAAGCAUUUGCCAAGGAUGUUUUCAUUAAUCAAGAACGAAAGUUAGGGGAUCGAAGACGAUCAGAUACCGUCGUAGUCUUAACCAUAAACUAUGCCGACUAGGGAUCGGAUGAUGUCAAUUUUUUAAUGACUCAUUCGGCGCCUUACG
rnacentral:rRNA from 1 species